rnacentral:rRNA from 1 species
AGAGUUUGAUCCUGGCUCAGAAUGAACGCUGGCGGCGUGCCUAACACAUGCAAGUCGGAUGUGCCGCAAGGUGCAUGGCAGACGGGUGAGUAACGCGUGGGGAAUCUACCUCUUUGUGGGGAAUAACGCUCCGAAAGGAGUGGUAAUACCGCAUGAGAUCCAUGGCUGGGAUGCUGUGGAUGAAACCUGGGGACCGCAAGGCCUGGGGCAAGGAGAGGAUCCUGCGUCUGAUUAGCUAGUUGGUGAGGUAAUGGCCCACCAAGGCGACGAUCAGUAGCCGGCCUGAGAGGGUGAUCGGCCACACUGGAACUGAGACACGGUCCAGACUCCUACGGGAGGCAGCAGUGGGGAAUUUUGCGCAAUGGGCGAAAGCCUGACGCAGCAACGCCGCGUGGGUGAUGAAGGUCUUCGG